rnacentral:rRNA from 1 species
AUUGAACGCUGGCGGCAUGCCUUACACAUGCAAGUCGAACGGCAGCACGGGAGCAAUCCUGGUGGCGAGUGGCGAACGGGUGAGUAAAGUAUCGGAACGUGCCCAGUCGUGGGGGAUAACGUAGCGAAAGCUACGCUAAUACCGCAUACGAUCUAUGGAUGAAAGCGGGGGAUCGCAAGACCUCGCGCGAUUGGAGCGGCCGAUAUCAGAUUAGGUAGUUGGUGGGGUAAAGGCCUACCAAGCCGACGAUCUGUAGCUGGUCUGAGAGGACGACCAGCCGCACUGGGACUGAGACACGGCCCAGACUCCUACGGGAGGCAGCAGUGGGAAAUUUUGGACAAUGGGCGCAAGACUGAUCCAGCAAUGCCGCGUGCAGGAUGAAGGCCUUCGGGUUGUAAACUGCUUUUGUACGGAGCGAAACGGCUUCCACUAAUACUGGGGGCUAAUGACGGUACCGUAAGAAUAAGCACCGGCUAACUACGUGCCAGCAGCCGCCGUAA